rnacentral:rRNA from 1 species
AUUGAACGCUGGCGGAAGGCCUAACACAUGCAAGUCGAGCGGAGCGGCGGUCGGGUGAGUAAUGCCUAGGAAUCGGCCUGGUAGUGGGGGAUGACGUCCGGAAACGGGCGCUAAUACCUCAUAAUAUCAGAUGAGUCCAGGGCGGAUUAGCUAGUUGGUGGGGUAAAGGCCUACCAAGGCGACGAUCCGUAACUGGUCUGAGAGGAUGAUCAGUCACACUGGAACGUGGACACGGUCCAGACUCCUACGGGAGGUGGCGGUGGGGAGUGUUCGACAAUGGGCGAAAGCCUGAUCCAGCCAUGCCGCGGGUGUGAAGAAGGUCUUCGGAUUGUAAAGCACUUUAAGUUGGGAGGCUUUUCCAACAGAAUAAGUACCUGCGAACUUCGUUCCAGCCGCCGCGGUAAUAC